GGCGUGCUUCGCUCCAUAGAUUUUGUAUUCGAGAAAUCUUUGGAGUGUUGAACGUCACA
rnacentral:pre_miRNA from 1 species